UCUCAGUACCGCGGAUUUUUACACACAGAGAAAGAGAAAAAAAUCUAGAUUCUACGAGAUCGAAAGAGUCGUUUCAAAAAGAGUCAGUAAGAAAAAGAUUGAAUACUUCAUCAAGUGGAAGGGCUACUCGAGCCUACAAAACUCCUGGGAGCCAGAAGAGAAUUUAAACGCCUUUGCUUUGAGGUCAUUCAACAACCCAAGGCUCACACAGCAAGAGAUUGCUGAUGCCAGUGAGGGUCUCCACAUUGGUAUUUUAGAGCAAUUAAAAUCGAAGUCUCAAUUACCCACUGUCAUUGCUUUUAACCACACUUAUUUUAACUUUUUGUUUAAAGAUAAGGGACGGAAAAGUAAUGACAGUGGAUACAUCCUCCUUGAAAAAGAGGAUUUUAUAAGAUGCCACUUUCCUAAUGGGUGGCACAGGCUAAUAGAUAGUAUAGGGGAUGGGGUGCAAAUUGACUUUCCUGUGAAGGUCAGAUUGUUUUUGUCAUGGAGUCCAAAGACUCAUAGCUUGACAGGGGAGUCAAUUACACCUUGCCCACGAUAUAGGCCAGAAAAAUUGAGUAUUUCUUUUUGUAAAGCAGCAUGUAGCCUGACAUGAGACAAAUUAAAGAAACCAAGACUUGAUUUGAUUCUAUUUGGCAUUGUGUAUUUAUUACAAAAUAGAAAAUCUAUAUUUUUGUAGUAGUUCAUCACAUAUUCUUAUAUUGAGUCAAAUUUUUCAUAUUUACAACCUAGAAGUACUUGCGGUGUGCAGGCUGUUUUUCAAUUUGUUAAGUAAGUAUAAAGGACACAAGAGUAGACCUCCACUUCAUUGAAUGCUAGCUUUAAGAGAACAUUUUUACAAUCCAAAGAACAAAAAAAUCAAUAGUUUUGUAGUAUUUGAGAUUGCUAUCCCAAUCAUUGUUGUUAUUGUUCUAUUUUUCAAUACUGAGUUCUCUCCAUUGUUCAGUGCAGUGGUGGUCACUGAAACUACCCCAGAUAUAUAUGUUACCCUCGUGGUAAACUAAGCGUUACUCAGGUUCUUCAGGAUCAAAUGUUGUUUUCCUUUUCUUGCUCCUUGCCUAUAGGAGAUCUUUUUCCCAGUAUUCUGUAUUUGAUUUAUUAUAUGGCCUUUUCUCCCUUUCUGAUUUACGUAGUGCCCAUUGUCUGGCCUCAACUUUUAGGACAUCUGAGGCAGCAUCCCAUUUAUUUGAUUUAUGUAAUACAAUGUUUCUAGCAUAAUCAUUGUUUUUCUCCACACCCUGCCCUGUGAAAAUUUUUACAGACUUGUGGGUCCUGAAGAACUUGGGGAUAUGGAACACCAUAGCAUGGAUAUACGGUGUUAUUCGUGCACGUUCAUAGCCCUUUCUUUUGUCUCUUAGAGAAAUGAAAAGGUUUACCCAGCUUUUAGCCUUUUCAAAAAAAUCUGUAAUUUGCUUAUCUGAAUUUUGACCACUUCCAAUAAAUGUAUAUAGUUCCCUAAAGUCUUCCCAUAUUUUCUUGACAGUAUUUGAAGUUGAAGUCUGAACAACACUUAAAAUUUUGCCUGGGAGCUCUCUCAGGAGUUGCUUUUUGUCAUUCCCAAGCAAACUUGUAAAAUCAUAGGUGCCUGAUCCCUUUCCAUCAGCAUUGGUUUUUUCCCAGAUAUCAAAACUAACCCCACAUGAGCGUACUGCAGCCUGCAGCCUCUCUCGAUGAACACCUUUCUUUUCUCCCCUUUUCUUAUUUAAAUCAUCUUUUUUGUCCCACUGUAAUACAUCCUCCAGUAAAUUAUUUAGUAACACAUCAACUACUCUAAGCAAAAGGUGCAAUUCGUCUAAAAUUACAUGAUCUAACUCAAUGUUUAAUAGAGGCUCAU